rnacentral:rRNA from 1 species
GUGCCAGCAGCCGCGGUAAUACCGGCAGCCCGAGUGAUGGCCGAUAUUAUUGGGCCUAAAGCGUCCGUAGCUGGCCGGACAAGUCCGUUGGGAAAUCUGUUCGCUUAACGAGCAGGCGUCCAGCGGAAACUGUUCGGCUUGGGACCGGAAGACCUGAGGGGUACGUCCGGGGUAGGAGUGAAAUCCUGUAAUCCUGGACGGACCACCGGUGGCGAAAGCGCCUCAGGAGGACGGAUCCGACAGUGAGGGACGAAAGCUAGGGUCUCGAACCGGAUUAGAAACCCCCGUAGUCC